rnacentral:lncRNA from 1 species
AUGGACCCAAAGCUAAAGUCUGUUCAAGGCAGUCAAACCACCUCAAGAAGCCACAACAAGCUUCACAAGGAGCUGCUACUGGCCCACAAGAGUGGUCAAGUUCUGAGCAGCCGAUCAGAACUUCAGCAGGUCCUGGAAAGGAGGCAGAGGGUGCAGAGCGUCCAGAAUGAGGAGGGGCAGCGCAGGACGCCUCUGGAGGACGUGCUGCUCAGACGUCAGCAGAAGCAGCUGGAGAGAGAGAAGGAAGAAGAGGAGAAGGUACGAGAGGAAGCUCAGUAUCUGGAGUACGUUAAAGUCCGACAAAACCUGAGGAAGAUCCACGCUGCGAUGCAGAACAAGGCUGCCAGCACCUGACAUGUGACGCUGAGCCCUGCUGAAACAUGAGCUACUGUACAUUUAGAGGAGAUUUUCAUAUAAAAACCCCAGACAUCAUUAGGCUCACAAGUCUUUGGAUUUCUAUGAUUUUACCUUUGGAAAAAGAGCUGGAAGUGACGACUUUGUUAUUUCUAAUCUUUAUUAUAAGAGCUUUUAUAGAAGGGAAGUGAAGAAUGAACCCAGAUAAGAAAGUAGCAGCAAACAUCUACAAAAGCCUCGUGAUCUGGAAUAACCUGGAUCUGGAUGCUUCCAUUUACAUUAAUGCCUUUGAGCCUUUGAGCAAUUAGAGCUUUUCUACUAAAAAUGAUAAACGGCAUGUUGUUAAAAGUCUACACUUCACUCAUUUAUAAUGUGAAAUGGAAUUAAAAUGGAAAUAAAAAUGUGGUAUUGUCCA